GUUUGAUCCUGGCUCAGAAUCAACGCUGGCGGCGUGUCUAACACAUGCAAGUCGCACGAGAAAGGGACUUCGGUCCUGAGUACAGUGGCGCACGGGUGAGUAACACGUGAAUCAUCUACCUUCGAGUGGGGAAUAACUGGGAGAAAUCUUAGCUAAUACCGCAUAAUACCUACGGGUCAAAGCAGCAAUGCGCUUGAAGAGGAGUUCGCGGCAGAUUAGUUAGUUGGCGGGGUAAUGGCCCACCAAGGCGAUGAUCUGUAUCCGGCCUGAGAGGGCGCACGGACACACUGGAACUGAAACACGGUCCAGACUCCUACGGGAGGCAGCAGUGGGGAAUUUUGCGCAAUGGGGGAAACCCUGACGCAGCAACGCCGCGUGGAGGAUGAAGUCUCUUGGUAUGUAAA
rnacentral:rRNA from 1 species